CGGGCCUCAUGCCAUCAGAUGUGCCCAGAUGGGAUUAGCUAGUAGGUGGGGUAACGGCUCACCUAGGCGACGAUCCCUAGCUGGUCUGAGAGGAUGACCAGCCACACUGGAACUGAGACACGGUCCAGACUCCUACGGGAGGCAGCAGUGGGGAAUAUUGCACAAUGGGCGCAAGCCUGAUGCAGCCAUGCCGCGUGUGUGAAGAAGGCCUUCGGGUUGUAAAGCA
rnacentral:rRNA from 2 species